CACUGAACGCUGAGCGAUACACAUAAGCGGCUUCUCCAGGCUCUCCUUUCCUGCCAGGGGUUCCGGGGAAGCCCCGUGGCCCUUCAGCUCCUGUCAUUCCAACAUCUCCUGUCUCACCCUUAGGACCAAGAAGACCUAGAAAGUGAGAAGAAUUCUGUGAAUGGCGGGAACAGAACUGCCCAGACUGUUUCCAGCAAGAGGCAUUAUCUCCGGAACCUCUACCCACAAUCCAUUUCACAGGACAAGGAAAGACAUCAUCUCCGUCAUCUCUGCUUCCUCACUCUCCACGGCCUGGCAGGCUCCUAUAAGUUCAUCUCCAGCCUUAGUUUUCAAAGCCUUUAUGGGUGAAUUAAAAGAUGAAUGAGC
rnacentral:lncRNA from 1 species